CAAUAAAGAAGGGGUGAAGAGGCCACCUAAAGCCAGCCUUAAGGGUCUCCCUAAAAAUAACAAACUCCCCUCGUCGUGCUCGAACAAUCCUAUCCUCGGGGUCAGGAAAUCUAACAUCGCAAUUAGGCAUUAUACCAUAUUCCCUAGCUGCAGCUAUGACUGAGCUCUUUAAGCCUGCAGGGUUCGUCGGGAUACUCAAAAACCAUAUUAACC
rnacentral:lncRNA from 1 species